rnacentral:tRNA from 1 species
GUUGCGUGGCCGAGUGGUUAAGGCGAUAGACUAGAAAUCCUUUGGGAUCUUCCCGCGCAGAUUCGAAUCCUGCCGACAACG